rnacentral:rRNA from 1 species
GAUGAACGCUGGCGGCGUGCCUAAUACAUGCAAGUCGAGCGAACGGACGAAAAGCUUGCUUCUCUGAUGUUAGCGGCGGACGGGUGAGUAACACGUGGAUAACCUACCUAUAAGACUGGGAUAACUUCGGGAAACCGGAGCUAAUACCGGAUAAUAUUUUGAACCGCAUGGUUCAAAAGUGAAAGACGGUCUUGCUGUCACUUAUAGAUGGAUCCGCGCUGCAUUAGCUAGUUGGUAAGGUAACGGCUUACCAAGGCAACGAUGCAUAGCCGACCUGAGAGGGUGAUCGGCCACACUGGAACUGAGACACGGUCCAGACUCCUACGGGAGGCAGCAGUAGGGAAUCUUCCGCAAUGGGCGAAAGCCUGACGGAGCAACGCCGCGUGAGUGAUGAAGGUCUUCGGAUCGUAAAACUCUGUUAUUAGGGAAGAACAUAUGUGUAAGUAACUGUGCACAUCUUGACAGUACCUAAUCAGAAAGCCACGGCUAACUACGUG